AUACAUGGGAAAUAUACACUUAAAACAUAAAUGUGAAAUUAUUUUUUAGCAUUUUUAAUGUGUCAUAAAUCAUACAUUUUGAUUUCUUCCGGACAUAUUUCUACCUGUUAAUAAUGCACUAAUAUGCGAUUUAUAUAUAAAAAUGUAAAAGAUCUGAUGUGGUUCGGCUUUAGGAUAUAGUCAUCAAAAGUUGCUAUUUUAACACCAUAGCAAGCCAUAAUCGUGAAUAAUCAUCUCUGGGCCUAAUAACGUUGAAUUCGAAAACAUCUACAGUCAUGCAAUAUUCCCUGAAAAUGUCAAGCAUCUAGCAUGAAUUGUUCAAACAUAAUGACCCACCUGUGGUUCAGAAUAAUCUGUAAUAUCCAAUAUCUUACUUCAUAAAUAUCUUCAGGAGCAUCUUCCAUCAAGUAGUGAAGCAUUGCAGCCAGUUCCUCCCAGCCUAGUCACAGCUGAUGGGUUCUUCAUAAGACCAACAAGGCUGCAAUGCUUCACUACUUGAUGGAAGAUGGAGAGAUUGCAUUGUGGCGUGUCCCAACAGUACAUCAUACAGUAGGUGUUCCUGCAACAAGGAAGCUGAGUGACUUCAAACUCUUCCUUGCAACAAGACACAAUUCUGUAAACUGCUACUUGAGGUGUAGGUCAGCAAAGCAUCUGCAUCAUGGCUGGAAAAAUGUGGAACAGCAGUGGUAGUCGUUGAAGGGAAAAUCAUAUCAGUUGGAGUCAUCGGGUGGCAAUGUGACCACAUGUGAGAUACCUCAGGUGGAGUCAACCCAGGAACAGAUUGACACCCAGCUUGUUCUGCACCUGCUGUAUGCCGCUCAACUGGGGCACAAGGUGGCUGUGGUGAGGACUCCAGACACAGACAUUUUCUUCAUCCUCCUACACCACGCCUAAUCCGUCCCGCUGACCAUCUACGUCGACAUUGGGACCAGAAAGCACAGCCGGAUCCUAAAUAUCAGCGAACUGGCAGAAUAAAACUUGGUGAUCAGUGGUCUGUGGAGCCAGAUGUGGUGGAAGACAUCGAGGCAUUUAGAUUGUGUAAUGUAUGGCCAGGCCUGUGAAAUCUGUGAACAACGUGCGCAGCAUCAUGCUGAAAAAAAUGAUUGGAGAGGAUGAGAUGCUUACCACCAGAUCCAAGGUGGAUCUGUCCCCAGCUCCCGCACUGCAGAGACAACCUGGUCCCACACAUCAACCGUGUCAACCACCGUCUGGCCAUCUACAAGAGAGCAGCCACACCAACAUUCUGGUGUCCCAAGCCCCCUGAUCCUGGUCAAGGCUGGGAAAAGACUGAAGAGGGUACCCUGGAACCAGUGUGAUCUUGUGGACCUAUCCUCCCCACUUCACUCACUGACUUUCUGGAGGAAACAGUCGAGGAGAUGGAUGGAGAUGAGAUAGAUAGAUACUUUAUUGAUCCCCAAGGGGAAAUUCAGGGGGUCUCAGUAGCAU